UACAGAGGUCUCAAGCGUUGUUCGGAUUCAUUGGGCGUAAAGGGCGUGUAGGUGGCGCCGUAAGUCGGGUGUGAAAUUUCGGAGCUUAACUCCGAAACUGCAUUCGAUACUGCGGUGCUUGAGGACUGGAGAGGAGACUGGAAUUUACGGUGUAGCGGUGAAAUGCGUAGAUAUCGUAAGGAAGACCAGUGGCGAAGGCGGGUCUCUGGACAGUUCCUGACGCUGAGGCACGAAGGUCAGGGGAGCAAACGGG
rnacentral:rRNA from 1 species